CACGGACUUGGUGCCUGCGAGGAUCUGCGCUGGUGGGAUUCCCUAGCAAAUUAAAAACGGCAUGACAGAUCAAGAGGGAGACUGCAGUUGAAAGGACGGCGCUUCAUAAUUGAGCACCUCUGACGGCACUCUUUCUUGCAUUUGAACACGUUCAUUUUCAUUCCCCACCGGGCUCCGCGGGUUACUGGUCGGCAUGAAACAAUGUUCUGCUAUGUUGCCCAGGCUGAUCUCAAACUCCUGGCCUCAAAUGGUCCUCACAUCUUGCCCUCCCAAAGUGCUGGGAUUGCAGACCUGACCACCCUUCCUGGCUGGCCUUGAAACAUCUGAAGAUUACAGGUUUUUGCCAUUUUCUUCAUACCAUAAAAAUAAAAAGUACCUCCCAUCAAUGCAUUUAUCAAGCAAGUAUAGUCUCAUUUCUCACAAAGAACAAUUCCGAAGUGAAUAACAUCUCUAUGACGGAUGUUGGAACUCUAUGCAACUGAGAAUAUUAGCCCACUUGCAGAUAUUCCUGUCACACCUGUAACCACUGUUGAGGUGCUACGCUGGCUCUCUCCUUGAGAGGCUGACUGGGCCACAGCAUCAUCACAAAGGCUAACAAAGACUGGGGAUCAAGGCGGUGGCCCAUUAUCACAUUCCUCUCUGUAAACUCUGUUGCUGAAUUACAUGCCUUAUGAUCCUUUGAUGCCAGGCAAGUCUGACACUUCCCACCUUCUCUUGGAAGAGAUUUUGUAUCUGUGAAUUAUAAAGUAAAUACAGGACUCUUAAACAAUACGUGACUACUGAUGCAUUCACUUUUUCAGGU
rnacentral:lncRNA from 1 species